rnacentral:rRNA from 1 species
AGAGUUUGAUCCUGGCUCAGAACGAACACUGGCGGCGUGGAUUAGGCAUGCAAGUCGAACGAGAAAGCUCCCUUCGGGGAGUGAGUAGAGUGGCGAACGGGUGAGUAACGCGUGGGAAACCUGCCCUUCAGCGGGGGAUAACAGUUCUAACGAGCUGCUAAUACCGCAUACGACCUCUUGACCGCAUGAUCGAGAGUUGAAAGCUGGCCUCUUCUUGAAAGCUAGCACUGAAGGAUGGUCCCGCGUCCCAUUAGCUUGUUGGUGGGGUAAAGGCCUACCAAGGCGACGAUGGGUAGCCGGCCUGAGAGGGUGUCCGGCCACACUGGGACUGAGAUACGGCCCAGACUCCUACGGGAGGCAGCAGUCGAGAAGCUUCGGCAAUGGGCGAAAGCCUGACCGAGCGACGCCGCGUGAGCGAUGAAGGCCCUAGUGGUUGUAAAGCUCUGUCAGAUUGGGACGAAAACUUGGCGGUUAAUACCCGUCAAGCUUGACGGUACCUUCAGAGGAAGCACCGGCUAACUACGUGCCAGCAGCCGCGGUAACACGUAGGGUGCAAGCGUUGUUCGGAUUCACUGGGUAUAAAGGGUGUGUAGGCGGCUCAAUAAGUCAGAGGUGAAAUCUGCCGGCUCAACCGGCAAAUUGCCUCUGAAACUGUUGAGCUUGAGUCCGAGAGAGGAAGGUGGAAUUCCUGGUGUAGCGGUGAAAUGCGUAAAUAUCAGGAGGAACACCGGUGGCGAAGGCGGCCUUCUGGCUCGGUACUGACGCUGAGGCACGAAAGCCAGGGGAGCGAACGGGAUUAGAUACCCCGGUAGUCCUGGCCGUAAACGAUGGGCACUAGGUGUUGGAGGAUUCUGCCCCUUCAGUGCCGCAGCUAACGCAUUAAGUGCCCCACCUGGGGAGUACGAUCGCAAGGUUGAAACCCAAAGGAAUUGACGGGGGCCCGCACAAGCGGUGGAGCAUGUGGUUUAAUUCGAUGCAACGCGAAGAACCUUACCUGGACUUGACAUACUGUGGACCGGUGUGGAAACACACUUUUCCCCUUGUGGGACUACUGUACAGGUGCUGCAUGGCUGUCGUCAGCUCGUGUCGUGAAAUGAUGGGUUAAGUCCCGCAGCGAGCGCAACCCCUGUCCUUAGUUGCUAACAGGUAAUGCUGGGGACUCUAAGGAGACUGCCGGUGACAAACCGGAGGAAGGUGGGGACGACGUCAAGUCAUCAUGGCCCUUACGUCCAGGGCUACACACGUGCUACAAUGGUCGGUACAAUGGGCAGCAAUACUGCGAAGUGGAGCGAAUCCCAAAAAGCUGGCCUCAGUUCGGAUUGGAGUCUGCAACCCGACUCCAUGAAGCCGGAAUCGCUAGUAAUCGCGUGUCAGCAUAACGCGGUGAAUACGUUCCCGGGCCUUGUACACACCGCCCGUCAAGUCACCCGAGUUGGCUGCACCCCAAGUUGCUGAGCUAACCUCUUCGGAGGAGGCAGGUGCCCAAGGUGUGGUUGGUAAGGGGGACUAAGUCGGAACAAGGUA